UCUGAUCCCUGCACCCAAGAAGUGGAAGUGGGUGGAUUAGGAUCCUUGUUGGCACAGCAAAUUCAAGGCCAGCCUGGACUGCAUAAAACCCUGUCUCAAAACAAGACAAUAUCACCUGCCUUGUAGGGAAUUAACGAACUUGAACAGGAUGUUUACGCGGCGUUCGGAGCCUUCCCUGGCCCACGCUCAGCAAAUGUUUGUCAUAACUGCUGAUCCCUUCCAAGAACUUGCCUGAGAUGACCACCGUCCACCUUCCCCUCUCAGGAGGAAGCAUGGCAGAUAACUGAGAGGCUUGCCCAUCCCACCUCUGACCAUCUGGAAGUUCUGCCCUCUUCUGGCCUUUGAGAGUAAGAGCCAGCUGGGUAUUCAGGAAAGCCACCCACCACUCUAGCCGCUGUGCUUCUCCUGACCCCCACAGCUCAAGCUACUGGAUCCAUCGGACCUUACUGCUGAUCACAGGCUUUGGAGGGUGUCCUAGCUGCUGACCUCACUCCUGGUGCCACCUUCCGCCUUGUUCUAUUGCUGGGAAGAGACUCCAUAGCCACGGCAAAGCUCUAGAAAGAAAGCAUUUACUUGUGGGCUUGCUUACCAUCUUGGGGCCUUCGUCCACCAUAAUCGUGACAGGGAGUGCAGCAGCAGGGACCAUGGUGGCAUGCAAGCGUGGUGCUGGAGAAGUUGAUGAGAGCUGCAUCCUGAUCUGUGGGCUGAGAGAGAGAGAGGGAGAGAGAGACAGUGGGCCUGAUAUGGGGUUUUAAAAUCUCAAAGCCCACAGGCGGUGACACGCUUCCUCUAACAAGGCCACGCCCACUCCAGCAAGACCACACCCCCUAAUCUUUCUCAAAUAGCUACUCCCUGAUGACGAAGCAUUCAAAUAUAUGAGCCUAUGGGGGGGGGCCAUUAUUCAAACUACCACAGGGGAGAAAGAACUGGAGGGAAAUUCAUGAUUCUCCAGCCAUAUGUCAAAUGGUGCAAGGAUUGAUUACGUGUACAUACGUGUAUAAUGUAUGAGUUGCAUGUAUGUAAGUGUGUGUGAAGGCUGGAGGAAAAGCUCAGGUAUCUUCCCCCGGAACCAUCCCCCUUGUUUCCUUGAGACAGUGUCUCCCUGGGACCUGAGCUCCAUGAUUAGGCUCAGCUGGCUGUGCAGCAAGCCCCAGCAACCUGCUUGUUCCUGUCUCCAGGGUUAUAUACAGGCACAACCACACCCAGCUUUUGACAUGGGCGCUGGGAUCCAGACUCUGGUUUUUAUGCUAACCAAACUGUCUCCCCGAACCCUAAAAUUGUUUUUAAAAAUUAACUAUGUUCCUCGCUUGUGUCUCAGAGGCGCUUGCUUGCCCCGUCACACCUGCUGGGGGGGGGGCAGAGGACAAGUUGCAGGACAAGGUUCUGUCCUUCCACCAAGAUUGAACUCAGGUCGUCCAGCUUGAUAAGAAAUACCUCUACCCUCUGGGUCGUCAGGCAGGCACGACUCACUUCUGUAAAAAGGGCGAGAAUUUCAUUAAACUGCAGAGGAGAAAGCA